GUAAAAAGUAGAAUAAUAGAUUUGAAAUAUUUAUUAUAUAGAUUUAAAGAGAUAAUCAUGGAGUAUAAUAAUUAAAUUUAAUAAAUUUAAUAUAACUAUUAAUAGAAUUAGGUUACUAAUAAAUUAAUAACAAUUAAUUUUAAAACCUAAAGGUAAACCUUUAUAUUAAUAAUGUUAUUUUUUAUUAUAUUUAUAAUAAGAAUAAUUAUUAAUAAUAAUAAACUAAGUGAACUGAAACAUCUAAGUAACUUAAGGAUAAGAAAUCAACAGAGAUAUUAUGAGUAUUGGUGAGAGAAAAUAAUAAAGGUCUAAUAAGUAUUAUGUGAAAAAAAUGUAAGAAAAUAGGAUAACAAAUUCUAAGACUAAAUACUAUUAAUAAGUAUAGUAAGUACCGUAAGGGAAAGUAUGAAAAUGAUUAUUUUAUAAGCAAUCAUGAAUAUAUUAUAUUAUAUUAAUGAUGUACCUUUUGUAUAAUGGGUCAGCAAGUAAUUAAUAUUAGUAAAACAAUAAGUUAUAAAUAAAUAGAAUAAUAUAUAUAUAUAAAAAAAUAUAUUAAAAUAUUUAAUUAAUAUUAAUUGACCCGAAAGCAAACGAUCUAACUAUGAUAAGAUGGAUAAACGAUCGAACAGGUUGAUGUUGCAAUAUCAUCUGAUUAAUUGUGGUUAGUAGUGAAAGACAAAUCUGGUUUGCAGAUAGCUGGUUUUCUAUGAAAUAUAUGUAAGUAUAGCCUUUAUAAAUAAUAAUUAUUAUAUAAUAUUAUAUUAAUAUUAUAUAAAGAAUGGUACAGCAAUUAAUAUAUAUUAGGGAACUAUUAAAGUUUUAUUAAUAAUAUUAAAUCUCGAAAUAUUUAAUUAUAUAUAAUAAAGAGUCAGAUUAUGUGCGAUAAGGUAAAUAAUCUAAAGGGAAACAGCCCAGAUUAAGAUAUAAAGUUCCUAAUAAAUAAUAAGUGAAAUAAAUAUUAAAAUAUUAUAAUAUAAUCAGUUAAUGGGUUUGACAAUAACCAUUUUUUAAUGAACAUGUAACAAUGCACUGAUUUAUAAUAAAUAAAAAAAAUAAUAUUUAAAAUCAAAUAUAUAUAUAUUUGUUAAUAGAUAAUAUACGGAUCUUAAUAAUAAGAAUUAUUUAAUUCCUAAUAUGGAAUAUUAUAUUUUUAUAAUAAAAAUAUAAAUACUGAAUAUCUAAAUAUUAUUAUUACUUUUUUUUUUAAUAAUAAUAAUAUGGUAAUAGAACAUUUAAUGAUAAUAUAUAUUAGUUAUUAAUUAAUAUAUGUAUUAAUUAAAUAGAGAAUGCUGACAUGAGUAACGAAAAAAAGGUAUAAACCUUUUCACCUAAAACAUAAGGUUUAACUAUAAAAGUACGGCCCCUAAUUAAAUUAAUAAGAAUAUAAAUAUAUUUAAGAUGGGAUAAUCUAUAUUAAUAAAAAUUUAUCUUAAAAUAUAUAUAUUAUUAAUAAUUAUAUUAAUAAUAUAUAUAAUUAUAUUAUAUAUUUUUUUUAUAUAAUAUAAACUAAUAAAGAUCAGGAAAUAAUUAAUGUAUACCGUAAUGUAGACCGACUCAGGUAUGUAAGUAGAGAAUAUGAAGGUGAAUUAGAUAAUUAAAGGGAAGGAACUCGGCAAAGAUAGCUCAUAAGUUAGUCAAUAAAGAGUAAUAAGAACAAAGUUGUACAACUGUUUACUAAAAACACCGCACUUUGCAGAAACGAUAAGUUUAAGUAUAAGGUGUGAACUCUGCUCCAUGCUUAAUAUAUAAAUAAAAUUAUUUAACGAUAAUUUUAUUAAAUUUAGGUAAAUAGCAGCCUUAUUAUGAGGGUUAUAAUGUAGCGAAAUUCCUUGGCCUAUAAUUGAGGUCCCGCAUGAAUGACGUAAUGAUACAACAACUGUCUCCCCUUUAAGCUAAGUGAAAUUGAAAUCGUAGUGAAGAUGCUAUGUACCUUCAGCAAGACGGAAAGACCCUAUGCAGCUUUACUGUAAUUAGAUAGAUCGAAUUAUUGUUUAUUAUAUUCAGCAUAUUAAGUAAUCCUAUUAUUAGGUAAUCGUUUAGAUAUUAAUGAGAUACUUAUUAUAAUAUAAUGAUAAUUCUAAUCUUAUAAAUAAUUAUUAUUAUUAUUAUUAAUAAUAAUAAUAUGCUUUCAAGCAUAGUGAUAAAACAUAUUUAUAUGAUAAUCACUUUACUUAAUAGAUAUAAUUCUUAAGUAAUAUAUAAUAUAUAUUAUAUAUAUAUUAUAUAUAAUAUAAGAGACAAUCUCUAAUUGGUAGUUUUGAUGGGGCGUCAUUAUCAGCAAAAGUAUCUGAAUAAGUCCAUAAAUAAAUAUAUAAAAUUAUUGAAUAAAAAAAAAUAAUAUAUAUUAUAUAUAUUAAUUAUAAAUUGAAAUAUGUUUAUAUAAAUUUAUAUUUAUUGAAUAUAUUUUAGUAAUAGAUAAAAAUAUGUACAGUAAAAUUGUAAGGAAAACAAUAAUAACUUUCCUCAAAAAAUAAAAAUGGAAAGAAUUAAAUUAAUAUAAUGGUAUAACUGUGCGAUAAUUGUAACACAAACGAGUGAAACAAGUACGUAAGUAUGGCAUAAUGAACAAAUAACACUGAUUGUAAAGGUUAUUGAUAACGAAUAAAAGUUACGCUAGGGAUAACAGGGUAAUAUAGCGAAAGAGUAGAUAUUGUAAGCUAUGUUUGCCACCUCGAUGUCGACUCAACAUUUCCUCUUGGUUGUAAAAGCUAAGAAGGGUUUGACUGUUCGUCAAUUAAAAUGUUACGUGAGUUGGGUUAAAUACGAUGUGAAUCAGUAUGGUUCCUAUCUGCUGAAGGAAAUAUUAUCAAAUUAAAUCUCAUUAUUAGUACGCAAGGACCAUAAUGAAUCAACCCAUGGUGUAUCUAUUGAUAAUAAUAUAAUAUAUUUAAUAAAAAUAAUACUUUAUUAAUAUAUUAUCUAUAUUAGUUUAUAUUUUAAUUAUAUAUUAUCAUAGUAGAUAAGCUAAGUUGAUAAUAAAUAAAUAUUGAAUACAUAUUAAAUAUGAAGUUGUUUUAAUAAGAUAAUUAAUCUGAUAAUUUUAUACUAAAAUUAAUAAUUAUAGGUUUUAUAUAUUAUUUAUAAAUAAAUAUAUUAUAAUAAUAAUAAUUAUUAUUAUUAAUAAAAAAUAUUAAUUAUAAUAUUAAUAAAAUACUAAUUUAUCAGUUAUCUAUAUAAUAUCUAAUCUAUUAUUCUAUAUACU
rnacentral:rRNA from 1 species